rnacentral:lncRNA from 1 species
AGAAGGAGAAUUAUGAUGACAUGGCAUUUAUGGCCAAUCGUAACUGACUACAAGGGGCUGGAACUAAGGUCACAUUCUGCUUAGUGUAAGGGAGAAGAGUGGUGAAAGAAUAGAAAGAAUGUAUCUGUAUUGUCCUGGCAAUCAGGCUGAUCUUCAGUAUGUCUCCUUACUGCUCAAAAAUGACUGAUUGUUUUCUCGUUGUCAAUGUGAAGCCAAUGGGAGAUGGGAACAGAGGAAAAAAUUGUGCCCUUUUCUUCAUGCUGCAGUCCCUGCUUCCAGCAGAGCUUUUAAAGUCACGUCGUACAGAAUCAACUUGAAUGAAACAAACCAUCUCCCUGCUAAAUACUAACUACUUCAUUUGAGAAUCAUCAUGAGAAUAAAACCCUGCAUAAGUAUUCUUGACA